GAUGAACGCUAGCUACAGGCUUAACACAUGCAAGUCGAGGGGCAGCAUGGUCUUAGCUUGCUAAGGCCGAUGGCGACCGGCGCACGGGUGAGUAACACGUAUCCAACCUGCCGUCUACUCUUGGACAGCCUUCUGAAAGGAAGAUUAAUACAAGAUGGCAUCAUGAGUCCGCAUGUUCACAUGAUUAAAGGUAUUCCGGUAGACGAUGGGGAUGCGUUCCAUUAGAUAGUAGGCGGGGUAACGGCCCACCUAGUCUUCGAUGGAUAGGGGUUCUGAGAGGAAGGUCCCCCACAUUGGAACUGAGACACGGUCCAAACUCCUACGGGAGGCAGCAGUGAGGAAUAUUGGUCAAUGGGCGAGAGCCUGAACCAGCCAAGUAGCGUGAAGGAUGACUGCCCUAUGGGUUGUAAACUUCUUUUAUAAAGGAAUAAAGUCGGGUAUGGAUACCCGUUUGCAUGUACUUUAUGAAUAAGGAUCGGCUAACUCCGUGCCAGCAGCCGCGGUAAUACGGAGGAUCCGAGCGUUAUCCGGAUUUAUUGGGUUUAAAGGGAGCGUAGAUGGAUGUUUAAGUCAGUUGUGAAAGUUUGCGGCUCAACCGUAAAAUUGCAGUUGAUACUGGAUAUCUUGAGUGCAGUUGAGGCAGGCGGAAUUCGUGGUGUAGCGGUGAAAUGCUUAGAUAUCACGAAGAACUCCGAUUGCGAAGGCAGCCUGCUAAGCUGCAACUGACAUUGAGGCUCGAAAGUGUGGGUAUCAAACAGGAUUAGAUACCCUGGUAGUCCACACGGUAAACGAUGAAUACUCGCUGUUUGCGAUAUACUGCAAGCGGCCAAGUGAAAGCGUUAAGUAUUCCACCUGGGGAGUACGCCGGCAACGGUGAAACUCAAAGGAAUUGACGGGGGCCCGCACAAGCGGAGGAACAUGUGGUUUAAUUCGAUGAUACGCGAGGAACCUUACCCGGGCUUAAAUUGCAGAUGAAUUACGGUGAAAGCCGUAAGCCGCAAGGCAUCUGUGAAGGUGCUGCAUGGUUGUCGUCAGCUCGUGCCGUGAGGUGUCGGCUUAAGUGCCAUAACGAGCGCAACCCUUGUUGUCAGUUACUAACAGGUUCCGCUGAGGACUCUGACAAGACUGCCAUCGUAAGAUGUGAGGAAGGUGGGGAUGACGUCAAAUCAGCACGGCCCUUACGUCCGGGGCUACACACGUGUUACAAUGGGGGGUACAGAGGGCCGCUACCACGCGAGUGGAUGCCAAUCCCCAAAACCUCUUUCAGUUCGGACUGGAGUCUGCAACCCGACUCCACGAAGCUGGAUUCGCUAGUAAUCGCGCAUCAGCCACGGCGCGGUGAAUACGUUCCCGGGCCU
rnacentral:rRNA from 1 species